UUACGGUCAUAUCAUGUUGAAACACCAGUUCCCGUAAGAUCAAGGAAGUUAGGCAACAUCCAGUCUGGUCAAUAACUAGAUGGGUGACCGCUUGGGACUACUAGGUGAUGUAAG